UUUGUAUUAUCUAUGUUUGCUAAAAGUUCCGUAUAUGUUUCGCUUGUUUCCGAAUGUUGUUCUAGAUCAUCAUCAUUUAUUUCAUCAAUUCUUAUUUCAGGUAGAUUAUCUUGGUUAUUUUCUUCUUUUUCUUCUAAUUCAUCUUCUAAUUGCAAUUUUUCUUUAAAUUUAAUUAUAUCAUUUGCUAAUUUUGUUUUUUGUUC
rnacentral:lncRNA from 1 species